AACGAACGCUGGCGGCGUGGAUAAGACAUGCAAGUCGAACGGGAUCAGUUGAGUAGCAAUACGAGGCUGGUCUAGUGGCGAACGGGUGCGUAACACGUGGAUACAUUCCGGGAAGCGAGGGAUAGCCCAUGGAAACGUGGAUUAAUACCGCAUGUGGUCGAGAGACCAAAGCCGGGGACCGCAAGGCCUGGCGCUUGAAGAUGAGCCCGCGUCCGAUUAGCUAGUUGGCGGGGUAAUGGCCCACCAAGGCUUCGAUCGGUAGCCGGCCUGAGAGGGCGGACGGCCACACUGGAACUGAGACACGGUCCAGACUCCUACGGGAGGCAGCAGUGGGGAAUUUUUCGCAAUGGGCGCAAGCCUGACGAAGCAACGCCGCGUGGAGGAUGAAGGUCUUCGGAUUGUAAACUCCUGUCGACCGGGACGAAUGCACUCGACCUAAUACGUCGGAAUGUUGACGGUACCGGUGGAGGAAGCACCGGCUAACUCUGUGCCAGCAGCCGCCGUAAUAC
rnacentral:rRNA from 1 species